rnacentral:rRNA from 1 species
GGGUUUGAUCCUGGCCCUGCUCUAACGCGUGCAGGAAGUCUAAUACAUGCAAGUUUUAUUUUUUUAUUGUAUAUUUUAUAUAUAAGAAAAAUAGCGUCCGGGUGCGUAAUAAUUGGAAAGAUGAAAUAAAGAGUAAGGUAUAUACUUUAUAAAAGGCAAAGUUCCCUCUUUAUUAGUAUUCUGAUUUGGAUUAGGUUGUUGGGUUGGUUACAGCAGCCCAAGCCCUUUAUCCAUAGCCUUCCUUAACGGGAGAAGGCCACAGCGGCACUGAAACAAGGGCCGUCCGUAAAUAUGCGGCAGCAGUAGGGAAUCUUUGACAAUGGGCGAAAGCCUGAUCAAGCUGUCCUGUGUAAGAUAGAUUUAUAGCAAAUCCAAUAGGAAGGCCGAUGAGUCGAAACUCUUACCUUUUGGUAUAACAAAUGAUUUAUCCUUUGGCUUAGAUAUUAUUAAAUAGCUAGUACAAUAGGAAAUGCCCGGCAAAUUCUGUGCCAGCAGCCGCGGGAAUACAGGAGGGCAGAGUGUUGAGCAUUUUGACUAGGCAUAAAGCGUGGGUCGGUGUAUAAAGAGUGUGCUGUAUAUAAAAAUCCCUAGAUUGUACUAGGAUUGAUACAAACCCUUUAUAUUGAGUUAAAAGAAGGCAUGUAGAAUAACCCUAGGACUGGUGGAAUGGAAAGAUAAGGGUUCGAAUACCAAAGGCGAAGGCACCAUGCUUUUUUUUUACUGACGCUUAACCACGGAAGCGUAGGGAGCGAUAGGGAUUAGAUACCCCUGUAGUCUACGCCGUCAACUAUCAGUGUACGGACAGAUUUUAUUUGUCUGUAGCCAAAAGCAUAUACACUGCGCCUGGAGAGUAAUGUCGCAAGGCAGAAACUCAAAGGAAUAGGCCGCCGGGUAGACCGGUGGUGGAACAUAGCGAUAGAAGCGAAACAACGCGCAAAACCUUACUAUUUCUUGACAUGCAGU